rnacentral:misc_RNA from 1 species
UUGUACACACCGCCCGUCACACCAUGGGAGUGGGUUGCAAAAGAAGUAGGUAGCUUAACCUUCGGGAGGGCGCUUACCACUUUGUGAUUCAUGACUGGGGUGAAGUCGUAACAAGGUAACCGUAGGGAACCUGCGGUUGGAUCACCUCCUUACCUGAAGAUACCUUCCGGCGCAGUGUCCACACAGAUUGUCUGAUAGAAGUAAUGAGCAAGGCGCCUGCGAAGUCGCGACACACCGUGU